UGUCCUCGUCAUUCUUGUGUAAAGAAGAACAUUGUUGGGUUUGUUUCUUACGAAGGAUUGAUGGUAUGGGGUGAGUGGAUUUUCUAGAGACAGUGAAAAUGGAAAAAGAAAAGAGGGAGAGAGUAACGAUAAAUAGCACUGAAACAAUAAGCAUGGUUAGAUAAGAAUAGCUGCAGAUGGGAAUAUGGGAUGGAGAGCGAGAGAGCUGUUAGAGCAGAGGGAGAGAAAGGGUGAAAGAGAGUCGAGACUACAGUGAGAGAACGCGGCGAUAUGGAUAUGGGAACGGAAUGUACAACGCGGCAUUUGCAGAUUGAUUUGGAAUAUGCUUGACUUUAAUAGGACGACUUUUACUUGCGGAUUUGUACUGAGGAGCGGGGAGCCAGGGGCGGAGAGAGAUCAAGUUCCCACUUCCCACCGGCCACCCCAUCAGAUAAAUUUACGCAAGAAGAGUCGACUGACUAACAGACUGAGUGACCAGGGGUUGAGUGAAUCUGUUUGAUUCUUCGUGUAAUUUAAGGAAUUUGUUACCAUUGCAUCACCUUCCAUUGUUCUUUUGACUUGGUAGUGUACUGUAGGACUUGCCUUCCUACUACACGUGUUAUGUAUCCAAACAUGCAUGGUAGGAAAAUAGAGAAGGGAUCAACCGCAAAGAGGCCAAGUGCGUAUGCUAUGACCAGCAAGUGAGCUGUGCAAGUGGAUUGAAAUUUGGGUGAGAUUGGAAUUAUCUACCGAUCAAGAAUCAUUUGUGACGAGGACAAAAUGCGACUGUUUAAAAAUACAUGGUGAUUUUGAUAUUCCCUCCUCCCAACAAGGUUAAAUGAGGAUAGAGAACCUUUUCUUGUUAAAGACAUUUAUUAUUAGGAUCACAAAAUCACCAUUUUUUUAACCAUAAAUUGGUGUAGUUGUAUUUCUACAGUGACAAGGUGAUUUCCGAACUGAUGAACCGAAUCUACAGUACAAGCACACAUGUCAAGAUAAAGAUAUAAUCAGAGUUUUGUCUCCCGAUCUAACUCCGAUGCUAAAAUCAGUUAUGUAAAAAAUCAAGAGUAAAAGCAACACUAGUUGGACUAAAGUUAUGAGCAAGAGAGAAAUUAAAGCCAAAAUCCUCUCUCUCUCUCUUUCCCCAUAAAGGGAGGGGAGUAUUUAUAGUAAGAAAACUGACGAGGAAUGGUGGAACCUACUAUUUGUUACCUGCAAGGAAUCAGCUUAGGGUGGCGGUGUCAGAGGUAGGUCUGGGUAUAACAGCAGUAGCAGUCAUAUCAACCAAUCUGACACUAAUCAAGCUUGUAAGUAUCAGACGCCAAGUAACCAGACAGUCCCAAUCGACCGAGGUGGACUCAUCUCGAGAGGACAAAGAUGAGAAUAAACACCAAGAUAGCCGAAGUGAUCACCUCAACCUAAAACGUGUUAGAUUGGUCAUCUCAGCGAUGAGUCGAGCCGAGGAAGCCGAGGUGAGCGUCCGCAUCGAGCAACGGGGAACUUGGCUGUUUUUUGAGUCUAGUCAUCUUCCCUUUUUGAGUAGAGGAAAUUCAGAUUAUGGUUAUUUUCCCAUCUUCUACAGGGAGGGGGAAAUUCAGAUUAUGUUUUUUGACCUUGGCUUUUGCAGAGGGAGGGGGAAAGUGAAAGUGGAAGUGGAAUUGGGAUCGAUGUACUUGUACUCGCUAAUUGACAUAUAAAGCUACAGGUUUAGUCCAAACAACUGCUUCACUCUUACUCGAGCAAAAUUGAGCAAGGAAAGGAAAGCAUCGCAGUCAGCUAGCAUAAGAUCAGUGGCACAUUUCAUCAUUCAAUUCAACUACUUUUUCCUUUUUGAUUUGGAUUCUUCCAGUAGUUAGUUAUUAGCAUUCUUUUUUUUUUGGGGGGAAGGAGGAGGAAUGGGUUUGGAAUAAUUUCUAAAAUGCACACUCGAGCAUCCACUUUGAUUUCAGAGGGCAACAUACAUCUUUAUUUAUCACUUGCGAUGAUGCACGAACCCAACCCACUGGGGAAAGCAGAGUCCAAUUUUGAUAGUAGCAAGACGUCGUAAUUUCUCUAGAAUAGAUAGAGACGCGCACCACUUGUUGCGGUCUUCAGGGCUUUAAUUGAAAAAUUGCCUUUCCAUUUCAUGAUAUGACAGCUUAGAGCCAUCCUUACCCCAGCACGGGCAGAAAGUUGACGACACUACUCUUUCCCCCUUUCUUUCUUGUUUAACUUGAUUCAGCCGAAUUUCAUGCCCAAAUAAAAUAGCCUUCUCUGCAAUUUUCUUAGUUUAUCUAUCUGUAAGGUAAAAGAGGGUUUACUCGUCUUCUUGUACAAGAUCCGUCUUGAAUACUCUAUUUAUUUAGAUGAAAGGAAGAAGAAUGAUUGUUUGUGUUAUUACUGCAAUGGCAAGCAUUGCUACAAUGGCAAAGCAAUGAGAUGGCUGCUUUUUUCUUUAUCUUUUUACAUGUAAAAUACGAUGAUGCUGGAAUCCCUGAAAGCCAAAAGCUUACAUAAUCUAUAGGACUACCAGUACAUUUGCACAUGGACUCAACUAGAAUCGUCUCGAUGUGCUUCUAAACAUAUCCUUCCAACUCUAAACUCUUGUACACUUGCAGGCCAGAACUAGAAGGAUAAUUAAUAGCUACUACUCUGUAUACAUUAAAAUUCUUAAAACCAUCUUCUUCUUCACGGUCUAAGAGCUUUGGACCGACGGUGUGUUGCCUAUCUUUACAACUUCACCCCAGCAAAGCCGAAAAAAGGAGGAGUCGUAGUGCAAGAAUUGGAUGUGCCAUAGCUUAAAAUAUCUGAAAAAUCAUACCGAAAGUAAAGAGUAUCUUGGAUCCAAGGCCAUAGCUGCUGUGCCACUGCUGAUAAGAAGAUCAUCUCAACUGCAAACCGCCUCGACAGAAAGUUUCUUCAUCACAUUUGGACACGGAUCGCCACCAAAAAGCGCAGGUGCUACUGUGACCGAGCAUGUUUGCUGCCCAAUGCAAUACUGCAAAAAAAUUUAAAAAAAAAAAAAAACAAAUAUUAGAAAAACAUAUACAUGCAUUCAUAAUUAGUUACUAAAUGAAGCCAUUUCUUCAUAUAUUACUUUGAACUGCGAAACAAAACGAAAAUUUGAAUAACUUGUCUGGAAGACGACAUGCUACGUUGACUGGAAUAAAAUUAUUGAAAAAGGAAAAAAAAAGUCCAAUGUUGAAUGCCAAGUAAGGUUGUAAACUUGAACUAUUUGACUAACAUACAAGAAAAGAAUAGCAGAGCUUAAUUCAGAAAUUCUGAAUUGUGAUUACCGUUUCAAAAGCAUCAUAAGAAUGGAAAGCAUGACAGCCUCCCUGACGGAAGUUUCCACAAGUCCCUUCAGGCGUUCCAAAGCUAGCAAAUUUGAUCGAUGAUAUUCUUUGACCAGGAGCACAUGAGAGAUGGGCUUUUGGCCUCAAGGGUUUGCUGACUUUACCUGAUGAUUGCAACUGCCAAUUUACUAAUGUUGGUUGCCAUUCAUAAAUAUCUGCGCAUACACUCGAUACUUCUCGUUUUACCAAAGAUAUGCCAUAUGGAUUUCCUCCCCAUUCUUCAAAUACAACUAACAAGUUUCCAGUUGGAUAUAACCAGGAGCGAGGGACGUGAUACCUGAAAAUAAUCCGAGUUCUGUCAGUCCACUGCAUAUUAUGGUGGAACACUAGAGAGAGAGAGAGAGAGAGAGAGAACGGGCAAGGAGCAUAGAAAGGAGAGCAAGUUGGUUGCUGGCUUACCAUUUUUGUGAGGCCUCCCCACAAUUACUGAGGCAUUUUUUCUCAUUAAAUGACCCAGCAUAACUGCAGGCACCACAAUUACCAGAUGCUUUAUAUGCAGGAUAAUACCUUCCAAUGCUCUGACCAUUUAUCCACACUUGACCUUUGCUCAUGGCACUCAUAUCUAAAGCCAAAGGCUCAUUUCCGGAUGGAGCACUGAAAGUAGUCUGCAAUUGCAAAGAAAAAGAUACAAAAACAUUAUGAUUGUUAUCAACCCUGAGAUAUUCCCCUGCCAAAGUGUUUUCCUUAUGCCAAGAGCAAGGAAUUGAACAGAAAGACGAACAAUAGUUCCAAAAUACUUCUAAUAGUAGGAGUAAGCACUUGAACAGAAGAUAUUAGACAUCCUUGGUGCGCUAUUAGCCCUCCCAUCUUCCAAAACAUUAAAGGAUGUAGAAUACCUUGUACCAGGUAAGUGGCUGCCUCUCGGCAACAAAAGAACCUUCACCCCACUCUACAGCAGAGCUCCCGCCAAGGGAAUGUAGACUCAAGGCUUCUCCCUUCAGACCAACCUGAUUAAAGCACCAAGUGAACUGCCAGUUAUUGAUUAAGACCAUCACGUGAAUUGACAGUGCUUUAUUAAGACCAUCAGGUGAAUCGACAGCCACUCAAUGAUCAGGUAUCAAAUAAUCAUUUUGAUUCAAAAACUGACCUUAUAAGACCAUUUCUGCCACGUUAGGUCUCUUCUCCCCUCAUUAAGACCAUAAAGUGAAACGGGCCCGAGAAUACCAGCAUUCCAUGUUUCAAAAUGGGGACCAACAUUCUGAGCCCAUACAUGAACGAUAAAGCAGAAUAAGCAAAUUUCAAACGCAUAUUGAGCAAGGUUUUUAAAAGCAUGCCAUGACAACCAUGCAGUACAUGCUUUAUUCAAAUUGCUCAAGAUAGAUAAUAUCAUGCAUGGCUACAUCAAAUGCAAAAGAACUUUAAAACGUCUAUGUGUGAAAGAGUGUGUGUGUGUGUGAGAGAGAGAGAAAGAGAGAGACAAACCGGGAGACCGACAGCAAUACUUAGGAGUGAAAUCUUGUUAACUCCGGCCCUCAGAUUUACACCUUGACUGAAAGUUAUUUUCGGGUUUUCCAGACUACCAUAUAUAGUUCCUGCCAAUGUUUGAACACAGACAUCAACAAACCAUCAUGAUUAUCAAAUUUCCACCUGUUAUGGGAACAAAAGCCGGACGAAGGAAGACAUGACUAUCUUCAACUUGACAGAAUAUGGGGACAACUUUGCUGAUAUAAUCUCCUAACUCUAAGGGUGAAGGAAUCAAGUUCAAAAUCAAUAAAACAGCAGAAUAUUGUCUCCAUGCAACUUAAGGGAACAUAUAUCUUUGAACUAUAUACUGAUAACAUUUUAUUGACUCAAGUUUCACCUUGACAUAUCACUCUAAAGAAAUAGUCAAUUAGACAACUAGCCACCACAUAACUUGCAUAGAAAACAAAACAUUCAAUGAUGUUCAAUGUCUUGUUGCACACCUGAUAGCUGACCAUUGAUGAAGACAUGCAAAGCAUGACCGGCUGACAUAACUGUAAGAACAGGCCAUUUUCCGCCUUUUAGAAAUCCUUCGGUGUGGUAAAUUCUCACUCUGAAUAACAGAAACAUAGGAGUUAAACCUCAAAAUGAAUCAUCACAAAGUCAGCGUAUCAGUAUAGCUGUAUGAGAGUAAAAAUCAACAGAAAGAAGCACCUACUCUGUUGAAUACCACAAAUAAUCUGAAUUAUCUCUGGUGACAUUUAUCUGCUCCAACAACCCAGAAACUGUAAACGUGUUGUCUUCAUAUGAUGCUGUUUCUUCAUUGUAUGACUCCCAAGAAAAGCCCUUAAUAACAGGAUUCAUUUUCAUCUGUGCACUUUGAGCACCAACCUUGCCAUGAAAAAUCAGUCUGAUGUCAAGAUUACGUAGUGAAGAGGUCUUUUCAUAAGGGACACAAACCCAUAACGUAGUCGUGAUAAUCUACAGUCAGCAAUAAGAUAAAAGACAUUAAAGUUCAAUAACAGUUUCUCUUCCUCACCCUUGCAGUAUUAUACACAGUGUUCUUGCAGUCAGGAAGGAUGCUGAUAGACCAGGGAGGCAGGUUGUAGUGCAUAUUGCCAAAAGCAACCCUUGCAAAAGAUUGAGAGUUGUAGUUGGCGAGAAAUGCUGCACAAGCUCCAGAUUUUGAUUUAAAAACAUGAGCCUGUAAUGCAAAACUGAAAGUAAGAAAAACGGUUGAACUCAAUUUGUAAUAGUGGCAAAUGUAAGAGAAUAAAAGUAAUUGAAACCUCUUGAUAAUUUCCAAGAGGCGUCACAGUGGGAUUUCCAGAUACUAGUGCUGGUUCGCAGAGCUUUAGUGCUCUAUGUAAAUCCUUAAGAUGACCCCAUUUGGGUUGCCGUAAUAGUCCUGGAAGAAAACAGAAACUUUCAUCAGUUUGAGCUGAGCAAUCCAAAGCUCAUUAGGCUUUUAACUGUCCCCAUGCACUUGAUACUGACAAAGGAUCAUUUCAGCUAGGAAGAAUCAUCCAGAGAACAAAAUAUCAGAUUCAGAAGGCAAAGAAAGCUUAAUUUAUUGCCAGUGUUAGACAGUACAGAUCCAUAUAGCAGGAUGAACAUAGGAUUUGUCACUCCUUUGGAUAGUUUAGACCAGCUUUUACAUUAAGAUUUCAUCAGACAUCGAAGAUAAGGACAGGAUCCUAGUGGUCUUCUUAAACAAAUAAGUCAAUUAUCAGACUGCACCAUUAGACACAAAAAAGUCGAUAGACCGGCUUUGACAUUUAGAUUUCCUCAGACAUCAAAUGAUAAGGAAAGGGUACAUGUCUUUUCUCAAAUAAAAACAAGGUCAACCAUCACAAUGCACCAUUAGGAAGACACUAAGGGUCAAAAAUACAUUUAAGACAAACAGAAAGUCAAGUCAAGACUUGCACUUCACUCUUAGUAAAAUGACGCACAUGUCCAGUUUAAAUGACAUGGCAGACUGAGGCUUCUUAGGGGCUGACAAGUAUGGCCACUAUAAAAAUAAAUGCCAACCCAAAAGCUAGUUUCCCGCUAAAAUGCAAACUCAUAUAGAAAACAUUAGCAUCUAGAUGACAUGAGGUGAAUACUGCAAGCUUAGGACAUGAGUUUAGGAGCUGGUGCAGUCUACAUACCAUAUUCAUCAAGAGGAGCAUCAUAAUCAUAGCUAGUGGCAAUAAAUGGUCCACCAGCUGUCCUGCCAAAGUUUGUUCCUCCAUGAUACUGCCACAAAGACAGGAAAUAAGAAGACAAUCACAACUUCCAGUAAUUUAGUAGGAAUUUUCACAAGAAUAAUUUUUAAAACAUUAAACUUUACCAUGUAAUAAUUAAUAAAGGAACCCCCUUUUUGAAUAAAUUUUGCAACAGAAAAUGCCAAGUCUUCAGCAGGACGGUAAGGUUGCGCACCUCCGAAUUCAGUAAACCUGCAAAAAGAACAGAUAAAAAUAGAGUCACUUUCCUGUUAUAAAACUCCAAGAAUUAUGUGAAACUACCUACCAAAAAGCAAUAACUCACCAGCCAGUCCAAGCUUCCGUCCAAAUCUUGGGUUUAUAAGCCUUAUUUGGGGAGAAGUAGUCGCAGUAGAAGCCAUUGCAUGUAUUUAUCUGGGCAGAAGUAAAAUAGACAUGCGAAAACAGACGCUUAGAAGAAAAAAAAUAACCGUAGUUGCAAAGACUAAUAAUCGGUAAAAAAGGAAUCCUCUUGAGAUAAAACUGAAGAAGUUCGAUAAAUAACAACAACCACAACUAUUCAAUUGGAUAAGUACUUAUGGAUACUCAUCCUAGGAGACAGGCAAGGAAGUAUUUUGUAGCUGAACAUCAGAAAUCAGAGUUGAACGUUGAAAGUGGGAGUAUAUAUGUAGUCAAUGAAGGAACUGCGACGUCAAUCAGCGACUCAGUCCGAAUAGAAUUCAAGAUCCAACCAUAUUUUAAUCAAGACAAAUUUGACAGAUAGGAUUGAGCAGAAAAAACCCAUGUGCAGGGGCUCCAACAAUUCAAUCUCUUUUUGGGUCACAAAAUGGACAAAACACUGGGUUCCAGAAACCCCACUAUACUAUGGGGGAACAUGGCAUGACAGCCAUCAAGAACUAGAAUAAGAGCAUUGCAAGUACUCUAAGAUUAAUCAAAAUGCAAAAAAGAAAAAGGUGGGUGGGGCGAUGGGGCAAGGUUACUCACAACAGGAUCAGGUGCGUCAUCUUGCUUGCACAUGACCCAAGGGACACCAGUGCCUAGAUCCACAGCCAUUUUGGCUGCCCAUUCCGUAUAAGCUCGACCAGGGGCACCUAAUUCAUACUCCAUAGGCCCAUAUUCGUUCUCAACCUGCAAAAUUAUUCCAAAAAAAGCCUACCUUUUUCAGUUCACUUCCUUAUUUUCCACACUUCAAAUAUUCCAGAUACCAGAAAGAAAAAAUGAAACUGGACAUGAAUAAACGGAAAGAAAUUACUACCUGCGAUAGGAUUAUUGGACCACCCUGAGGUUCAUAUAACCUCUCGGCUUUCAUCAUAUUCACAAUCUUGGUCGUGAAUUUUUGCAUUGCGGCCUUCGUUGCAGAAUCAUAGACACCAAAAUUAGUUAGAAUCGAAUCAUGUCAAUGCAAUAUGGCAGUAAAGGAAAUUAAUAUCCUACAAACUUAUUUGCCUGACCUUGAAAGGACCGUUGUUUGUUCUAAAGCUAAUGCCCGGAACAUACUUUAACCAAACUGGAAAACCCCUGAAAAUUUAUUCAAGAAAAAAGUGACUCAGACCAUAAACACUUCUCAAACAGCAGGAAUUUUCUACUUCUGGAAACUGCAUUACUUAAAGAUUACCCAAAGUUCCAUUCAGCACAGACAUAAGGACCAAUUCUGAGAUUAACAUAAAGCCCUGCUUCCUUCACCAGCUUGACAAAUUUAACCAGAUCAUAUCUACCCUCAAAGUAAUACUACAAAAGUAAAAUACAAAAACUUUAGUAUAUAUAUCCAAGAAGUAUUAGAGAAAAAAAAGUAAAGGGGGAAAAAUACACCCAGUUCAUCAAUUACUUUGCCAGGUUGAGGUUCAUGUCCAUUCCAGAAAACAUAAGUUUCGAUCACGUCCAAGCCUCCCUCUUUUGCCUUCUGAAUAAGAUCCGGCCACAUCUACCAUAACCCAAAACCAAGGAUAAAAAACCGAACUUCAUUGCAGAGUUCAGUAAGAAAUGCCGAAGAGAGCAAUUGGUAAAGAGGGCACCCAAAAGAAAAAAAGAAAAAGAAAAAUAGAAAAGAAAGAGGCAAAUAAGCAAUGGGGAUGAAGUACAUUUGAGGUAAAUAUACCUCAGGAGUGCUUCUAGGAUAAUGAAUGGAUCCAGAUAUAAGAAUCCUCCUUUGGCCAUUAACAAUAAUAGCCUUACUGUCAUAGGAAACAGAAGCUGUUCCACAAGAAACCCAUGAACCCAAUAACACCAGCACCACCAAGGCCAAAACUUUCCACAUUACAGAAACCUUGGAGAAAAUCAUUUCUAGGCAUUAACUAAAACCCCUCCGUUAAAACUUUUCCUUCCCCCUUGUACCUCAAGCUUGUACCUUUACAAUCUCAAAGCAAAGCACUCAGCCCUUUGUUUGGCCCUUUAGCCCUUUUCCCACCUCGCACUUUAUUCUAUACUAGUACUUGCUUUAUUGGAGAGAGGGAGGAAAAAAACACAAAAAAAAACAGAAGAAAUGAGUCAAAGAGGAAACAGCUGUUUUUCUUGUCUGAAUUUUUCUAUUACUAGCACUAUGAUAGAUAGUUUGCUUAGGUAGAGAGUUGCAAUUUGCAGAUGAUAGUCCCCAGUAGUACAGGAGUGGUCAGUGAAGCGUGAUAAAUUGUGGACUAAGGUAGUGUACUACUUGAGAAGAUGGGGUGCUUUGCAGCUGCUUUUAAACACAAAAAUUGGACCUCGUUUGAAAGUGACAUUCGGUCCCAUUUUCAGGACUUUGGACCCCACUCAUUACCAUACCAUUUUGGACUUUCCUCACUAGUAAUAGUAAUACUUACGCGGAGUCUCAACUCUCAUCCGUUUUUUAUUAUUAUUAUUAUUAUUUAAGUGAGGGUACUUCCUUCAUUAUUUACCAUCCCUCCUUUCAAAUUUUAAGUGAGCAUUUAAGAAGGAAGAUUGAUGCUUGUAAGAUUACUUUAAAUUUUGAUUUUUUAGAUUUAAAAGGGCUUUUCUGCUGUCUGCUGAAAAGUGAAUUAAAAAAAAUUUCUUUUUUUUAACGCGUUUGAUUAAAGCUCUGCUAGUGGGCAAGGAUUCUCAGCCCAAUCCCAAUAUGGUCGGUCCGCGCUUUUUGGCGAAGCCUCCCAUGUUUGCUCUCUGAUGGAAUUUUACCAGACAAGCCUUAGUGCGUCUACAUCACUCGCGGGCAAUUUGCCGCACAUUAUUGGGCUGUGCAGCCACGGACGCUUCCCACGCCAGGGAAGGCCUUCUUUUUUGUCCUUUUUAGUUUCUCCUCAGUAAUGACGAUUGCGAUUUACGAGGAGUAUGUUAAGUGUUAGUUAAUAACAUAAACAGUGCGUUUGUCACGGGUUUGGUUUUGUGCUUUCUUCGCUGUUAGCCAUCCUAAUAAAUAAUGCGUUUAUCAUCAUUUUCUUAAUCUAGGAAUGAUUGGUCUAAAUUAUUCGAUCUGUUCUGUAUUUAGACGAAGCAUGUCAGUCUUAACAAUCUACUGUAUAAUACUCCCUCCGUCCCACUUUGAUAGUCCUGGUUAUUUUUUCACACAGUUUAAAAAAAAGUAGUUAACUUUGUUGGAACAAUCAAUUUAGGUAGAUAUUUUUCUAAAAUACUCUCACGUUAAUUAGAGUAUAAUUUUAUGGGAACUUAAAUUGAUGGUAAAAAAAGAAUCAACUCUCAUUAAAUGGGGUAGGUUAUAGUAAUAACAACUUACAUUAAAUAAGGGUAUUUUAGGAAAAUUAAAAUACAACUAAAUUCUUCAAUUAGAAAUUGGACUACAAUUUGAGACAAACGAAAAAGGAAAACAGGAUUAUCAAAGUGGGACGGAGGGAGUAAUAAAUAUAGAUUAAUGGAGGUGAACCAUUCUAUUUAUUAAAGAGUUUUGAUGUUGCUUUGAGUCAAACAGAGAGUAUCGUGUUUGGACAUUACAGUCACCGAGAGUGGUGAAAGGAAUGUUUGUUCCCCAGUCUCUCAUGCCAAUUUCUUUCUUUUUUUAUUAUUACUAUUAAAAAUUUCCUGAGGUUUUCUGGAGGAAUUAUCCAAUAUGCAUUUUAGUUGAUGUCUAAUGUGGGUUGAAAUAUCAUCGGUAGAUUAGCAUGCACACACUCGCUAAACAAAAUUAAAGAACCCCCAACCUUUUUUUAUUUAAUUUUUAGGAAUCCCUUUUGCUUCUUUCUAUAAUCUAUACUAAGGACAGAAAAAGGAAAAGAAAACCCACUAAUGCCUGAAAAAGUUGUACCAUCUGGUCCUUUUUUCCUUUUUUUGUAUAUCUUCUGUCAAGGAUCAAAGAUCUUCUCUUUCGGAUGAUAUAAUGAUAGAUCUCAGGUACAAAGAUAGCCUUUUUGUAAUUGUUUUGAUUAGGAAGUGUAAUUGAAACCGAUCAGAAGUGAAACGCGGAAUUCAGUGGGAGAAGCAUCCUGCUUUUCAAGAGUUGGAUUAUUCGGUGAAUUUCUUGCCAUCAAUAAUGCCAAGACAAAACUUACAGUAGUCCCAAUACUAAUAUGCAUCUGUAUCAAUGCCAAGAGAAAACUGACAUUAAGAAAAGAGUUUAUCUUAAAAGCGUGUGUGUGAGAGAUAACGUGUUAUAACGGUUGCAUGCACGAGACGAAAUGUGUACAGAAUUUAUAUUUCAAAUUCAAAUUCUGAUUGAUUAUCAUGCGUUCAGCAGUAAUAACGUAUACACCAUCAAUCAACGUACGGAAGAUUAAUAUGAAAAGAGUAAUGAUUUUCUCGUAAAUUAGAAAUUUAAAACGUGUUAUUCUUGUGAAAAAAAUACCACAAAGUGACAAAUCAACAUGUACAAUAUUGACGUCCUCAUUGUUUGUUUAAUAUUUGUCACUUUAUGAGCGGUAGGAGGAAACAAAGAAGCUUUUAGUUUGAGCAAUCAAGAAGGAAUAGAUUGGUAACUUGGCGAGAGGAGAAAGAGAG
rnacentral:lncRNA from 1 species